rnacentral:sRNA from 1 species
GUUGGACCUGAUUCAUGAUUCAGAUAAAUAGUUUGGAAUUUAUACAAUAUCAGUUUGCUCUGCAAGUUUUUCAGGCAGCAUAUUACUGAAUUUAGCUGUUCUAGAAGGACAGCUUUUCAUGACACUUUAGUACCUCAGAUUUAAGUACUAAGUAUUGCCUCUUUUACCAGAGUCUCCAAAUACUGACACUACUUUGUUUCAAUUUUAAAUGGAGAUUGACAUACUGUUUAGAAGAUGAUCUAAGAAAUGUAGGACCAGUAGAUGCUCAAGUAUAUCUUGAAGAAAUGUCUUGGAAUGAAGGUGAUCACUCUUUUUAUCUGAGUUGCAGAUGUGGUGGAAAAUACAGUGUUUCCAAGGAUGAAGCGGAAGAAGUUAGCCUGAUUUCUUGUGAUACAUGUUCACUAAUUAUAGAACUCCUUCAUUAUAACUAAAA